rnacentral:rRNA from 1 species
UGCUGGAGGUAUCAGAAGUGCGAAUGCUGACAUGAGUAGCGUUAAAGGGGGUGAAAAGCCCCCUCGCCGUAAGCGCAAGGUUUUCUACGCAACGUUCAUCGGCGUAGAGUGAGUCGGCCCCUAAGGCGAGGCAGAGAUGCGUAGCUGAUGGGAAACAGGUCAAUAUUCCUGUACCGAUGUGUAGUGCGAUGUGGGGACGGAGAAGGUUAGCUCAGCCAACUGUUGGAUAUGUUGGUUCAAGCCUGUAGUCGUGCCUGGUAGGCAAAUCCGCCGGGCUUAGAUGAGGGGUGAUAACGAGUCUGCUUGCAGACGAAGUGAGUGAUACCCUGCUUCCAGGAAAAGCCACUAAGCUUCAGCUAUUGACGACCGUACCGCAAACCGACACUGGUGCGCGAGAUGAGUAUUCUAAGGCGCUUGAGAGAACUCAGGAGAAGGAACUCGGCAAAUUGAUACCGUAACUUCGGGAGAAGGUAUGCCCCAAGUAGGUGAACCUGUACAAGGCGAGCCCAAAGGGGUUGCAAAAAAUCGGUGGCUGCGACUGUUUAAUAAAAACACAGCACUCUGCAAACACGAAAGUGGACGUAUAGGGUGUGACGCCUGCCCGGUGCUGGAAGAUUAAAUGAUGGGGUGCAAGCUCUUGAUUGAAGUCCCAGUAAACGGCGGCCGUAACUAUAACGGUCCUAAGGUAGCGAAAUUCCUUGUCGGGUAAGUUCCGACCUGCACGAAUGGCGUAACGAUGGCCACACUGUCUCCUCCUGAGACUCAGCGAAGUUGAAAUGUUUGUGAUGAUGCAAUCUCCCCGCGGAAAGACGGAAAGACCCCAUGAACCUUUACUGUAGCUUUGUAUUGGACUUUGAACAGAUCUGUGUAGGAUAGGUGGGAGGCUUUGAAGCAGGGUCGCUAGAUCUUGUGGAGCCAACGUUGAAAUACCACCCUGGUGUGUUUGAGGUUCUAACCUAGGUCCAUUAUCUGGAUCGGGGACAGUGCAUGGUAGGCAGUUUGACUGGGGCGGUCUCCUCCCAAAGCGUAACGGAGGAGUUCGAAGGUACGCUAGUUACGGUCGGACAUCGUGACGAUAGUGCAAUGGCAUAAGCGUGCUUAACUGCGAGACUGACAAGUCGAGCAGAUGCGAAAGCAGGACAUAGUGAUCCGGUGGUUCUGUAUGGAAGGGCCAUCGCUCAACGGAUAAAAGGUACUCUGGGGAUAACAGGCUGAUACCGCCCAAGAGUUCAUAUCGACGGCGGUGUUUGGCACCUCGAUGUCGGCUCAUCUCAUCCUGGGGCUGUAGCCGGUCCCAAGGGUAUGGCUGUUCGCCAUUUAAAGAGGUACGUGAGCUGGGUUUAAAACGUCGUGAGACAGUUUGGUCCCUAUCUUCCGUGGGCGCUGCAGAUUUGAGGAAGCCUGCUCCUAGUACGAGAGGACCGGAGUGGACACACCUCUGGUGUAUCGGUUGUCACGCCAGUGGCAUUGCCGAGUAGCUAAGUGUGGAAGAGAUAACCGCUGAAAGCAUCUAAGCGGGAAACUCGUUUCAAGAUGAGAUCUGCCGGGGCCUUGAGCCCCCUAAAGAGUCGUUCAAGACCAGGACGUUGAUAGGUCAGGUGUGGAAGCGCAGUAAUGCGUUAAGCUAACUGAUACUAAUUGCUCGUGCGGCUUGACCCU